rnacentral:rRNA from 1 species
AGCACGGCCCUUACGUCCAGGGCACACACGUGUUACAAUGGCCGGAACAAAGGGCAGCUACCUGGUGACAGGAUGCUAAUCUCGGAAAACCGGCUCAGUUCGGAUCGAAGUCUGCAACUCGACUUCGUGAAGGUGGAUUCGCUAGUAAUCGCGCAUCAGCAAUGGCCGCGGUCGAAUACGUUCCGGGCCUU